UGGCCCCAACCUCCCAUCCGUGUCUAUUGUACCCUGUUGCUUCGGCGGGCCCGCCGCUUGUCGGCCGCCGGGGGGGCGCCUCUGCCCCCCGGGCCCGUGCCCGCCGGAGACCCCAACACGAACACUGUCUGAAAGCGUGCAGUCUGAGUUGAUUGAAUGCAAUCAGUUAAAACUUUCAACAAUGGAUCUCUUGGUUCCGGCAUCGAUGAAGAACGCAGCGAAAUGCGAUAACUAAUGUGAAUUGCAGAAUUCAGUGAAUCAUCGAGUCUUUGAACGCACAUUGCGCCCCCUGGUAUUCCGGGGGGCAUGCCUGUCCGAGCGUCAUUGCUGCCCUCAAGCCCGGCUUGUGUGUUGGGUCGCCGUCCCCCUCUCCGGGGGGACCCGCCCGAAAGGCAGCGGCGGCACCGCGUCCGAUCCUCGAGCGUAUGGGGCUUUGUCACAUGCUCUGUAGGAUUGGCCGGCGCCUGCCGACGUUUUCCAACCAUUCUUUCCAGGUUGACCUCGGAUCAGGUAGCCAUACCCGCUCGAACCAAGCAUAUCAAAAG
rnacentral:rRNA from 1 species